rnacentral:lncRNA from 1 species
GAUCUCAAGAGGUUUCUAUUGAGUUUUCGGUGCUAAAGUUUUCAAGUUUAGGGUGCGAUCACGAUGGAUGAAGGAAUAAGGAGUAGUAAGACCCUAAGCUUUGGGAUUACCAAGGCACGUGUAACGCCUGGAACCAACGCUCCACAAGAUUCCCCUUUUAUUCCAUUGUCGUCGUGUGAUUUGUUUGGUUGUCCCAUUAAUCAUCGUGUCAUGCACAUCAUUUGCAUUGCAUAGACACAUCAUUUCCAUCAGUUUUGAAACUUGCAUCCAUUCUUAGUUGUCGGUUCCCUCCGUUUUGUCGUUGACCGUUUUGAGACCAAGCACACGCGCCCUCGCCCGCGACAUUGUUAAAAUAUUGUUUUUAAAAGUGUGUAUAAAACUUUCUAGAAUUAGGUUGAAAGUUGGCGUGCGGUCUUGUUAUAAUGUAGGUAGGCCGCCUGCCAAAUUUCGUCGCAAUCGGAGUUCGUUUGAUACCCGAACUAUCGAUCGUAGCGGCACCGUCGUUAGUUUAUUCGUCGGAUGUUUUUUGCUUUAUAAACUCUGUCACGGGCCGCACCAUUUUCCUCUCGUCUUAGUCCAACAGCCUCUACAAAGCCUAUCCGGCCCACCUAGCCACCUCUCACAUCCAGAACCGUCCGAUUGCGAUCGUACGGUAAAAUAUCGGACUAAAAAACCCCAAACCCUAGCUUUUUUCCUAUAUAUAGAUAGCCCCAUGUCCAAAAAUGGUCUCCUCGCACCUGUGCCUUGUUUUCUACACCGGCCACAUAUGCCACCGCCACUUGGCCACCAGACGCCACCCUCGGCCAACCAGACGCCGCCAUGUCGCCCAACAACUCCUCCCUCCACCGCAUGCCCGCCGAGCUGUGAGGGACCGGUUUUUCGGAGAUUUUAAUUUCCCUUCGAAAUGGCCCUUAUGCAUACCAGCCCCAGGAAUACUGUUCGCUGGUGCACAAAUCCUUGAUACAAAUGUCCAAGCAAAAUUACAAACUUGAAGUACAAGACCGAGGUGGUCCAUAGAGUACAUCAAAAGGUUUCUAAUGGUUGAUGGCGGAAGCGGUUCGGGGAUCUCCAUUGUCUAUGGGACUCCAUUUCCCACAGGAACAAAUGACCUGGAUAAUUCCUAUCUCACGUGGCUCCUAUCUUCGGUGCCUAGGUUUCGGGUUUAUCAUCGAGUUCCUCCUCUCCAAGCACGCUAUCUGGCCAAGACAAUACCCAGGGUCAAGCCAGUUAGUACUUUGAAUAUACUCGCAAACAUCAUGAAACAAACAUAAAUUAGCAUGGUUAAUAUGCACUUGCAAUAAUACCACAAUACUUUGUCAACCCAGAUGUACUUCUCAAGUACUAGUAAUGAGAACAUAAUCAUACUGAGAAAUUAGUAAGUAAUUAAUAAGAGUAAAAAUGAACGGAUGUAAUAUAAAUGAUGCCUCCGUCGGGCGUCUAAGCGACACCACAUAUAGGGCUUGGAUAAAAUAAUAAGUAGCAUGCCACUGUCGGGCAUCUCAGCGACACCACAUAAAGGUCUUAUAUGAAAUAAUAAACAUGCCGCAUUCGGGCGUCUCAGCGACACCACAUAAAGGGCUUAUAUGAAAUAAUAAACAUUCCGCAGUCGGGCGUCUCAGCGACACCACAUAAAGGGCUUAUAUGAAAUAAUAAACAUACAAUAUCCAGGAAGUAGAACCGUCCGGGGGAUAUUCAACAAUCAUAAUCAUAGGGUUUAGUACAUCGAAAAAUAAUGUUUAUAAUCAUCCACCAUAUCUCCUGAUUAGCCUCACGAUUCCUUAACUACUCCGAAGACCGACACUUGACUAGUCAACCAAUCGUCCUUGACCGUGGACACGGCUAUUCGAAUAGUUUUAACUCUGCAGAGGGUGUACUCUUUACCCGCAACCAACAGGUUUCAACAGUCACUUGGACUAAUCCCGCGUACGGUAUUUCACGGGUAAACACUCACAACCAGCACACACCCAUUUUAUCCCUACGAAGCCUAACUCCAACCAGACUACGCUGUAGGGAAAAACCAUAAGAUGGGGAGGCUCCAACCUCGACUAGCAUGGGAUCAAAUUUAUACUACGCACUAAAAGGGGAGAGCUCGUCCCAGACCGGAAACAUCCAUGCCCCCUGACCGGAUGACUGGAUUUAGUCCAUGGCCGUGGAUACCUUCAUCUCGGCCCCUCUAGUUGGUGUGUACCUGGUAAUAGGUUUAUAACCUACUAAACUAUAUCCCCUUUCGGGAAGAUCGUGGCAGCACGAACGAGUUAAGGUGACAUACUGAAAAGACUAGAUCUACGGUCGACUCAGGAGGUUUAAGUUAUUCCCUGUAUGAUUAGCAACAUAAAAUGAUUUCACCACCAUAGACAUAGUCACUACCUAUCAUGCCCCUCAUGUCUCGCUGACCAAACUCGUCCCACGAGAUGUCAGUCGCACAAUCGUAUAUUCCCGAGACACCGACUCUCUUCGGAUCCCAUCCGAGAGGCAUGUGUGGCAGAAAGAUAUGACCUCUGUCUCACCCAUAUCACUCAUGCAAUCAUCAUACUUCCAAACAUAAAGCCAUAUGCAUGAUCAUCACAUGAAAUACCAUCAACUUUAACAUAACCAUAGUGUUUACUUUAACAAACAAAACACACACAACCAACACAUGUCAAGUUUCAGGAUGCUUGCCUUCCAAUUGUAGAGAGGUAAGGUUUCACUUCAAAACUUUUUGCAAGUUUUCUGCUCCUCUCAACAUAGCCUAUAUUUCGAAAUUAUACUAAUUAACACCCAAUAAAAAAUAGUAUAGAAAAUUGUUUUAGAUAAAUACUAAAAUAAACUAGAUGAAAAUUGGAAGAGGUGAGAAAAAGAAUCAAUUCAUUUGGACUACUAUUCUAGGAGUUGGAGCCAGUCAAAGUUCUGUUUUAAAAAUCAAAUCUGAAAAAGAAAACGUUUCGGCCGAAAUACGUAAGCGCAAGGGGAAGGCAUACUUGGCCGAAGGCAUCUCCACUAACGCGGGCGUUGGCUUGGUCGAGUCGCUAAUGCGCGGGGCCCACGGACAGGUUUGACCGUGGUCAUGCCAGCCUUCUUCCUCCUCUGAUCGAAGGGAGGGGAGGCUCCCGGCGAUGCUCGCUGGCGACUGGGGCCACCUCUUGGGAACCUGAGGGUACCCUCGUGAUCAAGGAUUCACGAUGGUUCGGGAGAGGUACAGCACGACCUCCGGCGGCAACGAGGCCGGCGGACGGCGGUGCGGCCAGCAAGGGGGUUGUGCCUACGGCUCAUGUGGGGCUUCGCCGAUAGAGGGAAGAAGCUUGCGGUGCUCGUGGGAUUCCAUUCCGGCGAAGAACGGCGUCAGGGACGCUAUAUUGGCUGCGAAUUUAGGUUGGGGUAUGGGCGGCCGAGACCUGCCGGAGCUGGGGAAGACGGCGGCCUCUGGCCAAAUUGAAGCUAGGGAGGGGUGGCUAUGGAUUCUAGGGGGCUUGUGGACUACGAUGGGGCUUCGGAGGCUCUAUUUAUAGCUGCAGGGAGUUGGUUCCUCUGGUGGACAAAGAUAAGGUCGCCGGAGACCAACAUUCAGCGACACACGGACUGCAAUAGAGGUCGCAGCAGGGCUGGGCAGCAAGGUUACUAUGCAGGGUUGGUGUCCGAGGGUAGGUGGCACACGGGGGCGGCUCGGGCGGUGCUGCAUCGUUGUGUGACUG